rnacentral:rRNA from 1 species
AACGAACGCUGGCGGCAUGCCUAACACAUGCAAGUCGAACGAGACCUUCGGGUCUAGUGGCGCCCGGGUGCGUAACGCGUGGGAACCUGCCCUUAGGUUCGGAAUAACUCCCCGAAAGGGGUGCUAAUACCGGAUAAUGUCUUCGGACCAAAGAUUUAUCGCCUUUGGAUGGGCCCGCGUUGGAUUAGCUAGUUGGUAGGGUAAAAGCCUACCAAGGCGACGAUCCAUAGCUGGUCUGAGAGGAUGAUCAGCCACACUGGGACUGAGACACGGCCCAGACUCCUACGGGAGGCAGCAGUGGGGAAUAUUGGACAAUGGGCGAAGGCCUGAUCCAGCAAUGCCGCGUGAGUGAUGAAGGCCUUAGGGUUGUAAAGCUCUUUUACCCGGGAUGAUAAUGACAGUACCGGGAGAAUAAGCUCCGGCUAACUCCGUG